rnacentral:rRNA from 1 species
GACGAACGCUGGCGGCGUGGAUUAGGCAUGCAAGUCGAACGGUAUCAUCCUUUCGGGGGUGAGAGAGUGGCGAACUGGUGAGUAACACGUAGGUUAUCUACCCUCAAGACGGGGACAACCCAGGGAAACUUGGGCUAAUACCGGAUGUGAGCAACUUUUAGUUGUUUGAAAGGUGGCGUAAGCUGUCGCUUGGGGAUGAGCCUGCGUCCUAUUAGUUAGUUGGUGAGGUAACGGCUCACCUAGGCAAUGAUAGGUAGGCGGCCUUAACGGGUGGUCGCCCACACUGGGAUUGAGAUACGGCCCAGACUCCUACGGGAGGCAGCAGUCGAGAAUAGUCUACAAUGGUCGGAAGACUGAUAGUGCGACGCCGCGUGAACGAUGAAUCCCUUCGGGGUGUAAAGUUCUUUUAUAUGUGAGCAGUGCUUCUUAUAUUAACAGUAUGGGGAAGAUAUUAGCAUAUGAAUAAGCAACGGCUAAACUCCGUGCCAGCAGCCGCGGUAAAU